rnacentral:rRNA from 1 species
GUGGGGAAUAUUGGACAAUGGGGGAAACCCUGAUCCAGCAAUGCCGCGUGUGUGAAGAAGGCCUGAGGGUUGUAAAGCACUUUAGUUGGGGAGGAAGCAUCUGGGAUGAAUAGUUCUGGAUGUUGACGUUACCCAAAGAAUAAGCACCGGCUAACUCUGUGCCAGCAGCCGCGGUAAUACAGAGGGUGCGAGCGUUAAUCGGAAUUACUGGGCGUAAAGGGUGCGUAGGCGGAUUAUUAAGUCGGUUGUGAAAUUCCAGAGCUUAACUUUGGAGCUGCGAACGAUACUGAUAGUCUAGAGUACAGCAGAGGGGAGUGGAAUUUCCGGUGUAGCGGUGAAAUGCGUAGAUAUCGGAAGGAACACCAGUGGCGAAGGCGACUCUCUGGGCUGAUACUGACGCUGAGGCACGAAAGCGUGGGGAGCAAACAGGAUUAGAUACCCUUGUAGUCC